ACUUGCGUCUACCGCUAAUUUGAACGGACGGUCAAACACUGGUGCAGCCAAAACAAGGGCGUUUGAUAACAGUGCCUUAACACAAUCGAAAGCACGCUGACAGUCGUCUGACCAAUAGAAACGCCUUUUGGGGCUAAGGAGGUCCGUGAGUGGGGCGGCGACAGCCGAGAAGUUCCUACAAAAACUACGAUAAUACUGCGCCAUUCCCAGAAAGCGACGUAGCUGACGCUGAGACGCAGGCGCAGGGAACGACAGGAUGCAAAACAGUGUUGACCAAACGUUGAAAAGUCGCCGGGGCAUUUCUUACGCCGAACGGCAUAACCGGCAGUCAAAGGUACCAGCCAAUAGCCUUUAAGGAGAUCUAGCUUUGUCACAUAAGUAGCACUGCCGACAUGAUCUACACAGUCAUCGAUUCGAGGGAGUGGAUAACAAUCGGGCUUAGUGACACCAUUAACUUUACGGAAGUCCGUACAAAAACGAUCAGAUGAAUUGGACUUCACCGACAGGAGACACGGUGAACUCCACGAGCUGGAGCUCUGUUCGGCAAUGCCGUUCUCCAGCAUAUAGUCGACCUGUUUUUGUAGGCGAGCACGCUUCUCCGGAUUUACCCGAUAAGCAUGCUGCUUAAUCGGAGAAGCGUCACCCACGUCGAUAUUGUGCUCAAGGACAUUAGUUUGUGUGGGCACAUCAGAAAACAACGAAACAUUCGAUUUAAUUAACUAACCACAUCCUCAUGCUGGGACUCCGUGAGGUGCAAAAAACACUCGUCAAGUUUAGACAACAUUGCCGAAUUCUGCAGUCUGCCUUGGACCACAGCUAGGGACGGACCCACCACAUCCUCGAGGUCAGCUGCAGCCACUGUAGGCAGCACCCCGGGGGUUCCAGCACCGGACAGCUCCUCUGCCACCUGGGAACUCACCGCGGCUUCAGCACCGGACAGCGCCAGCACGGUGCUGUGCACUUCACUGCCAGGAGUCGGAUGAGUAGAUUCCCUGCAGAGAUCACCUGCCUCAGUCUGAGAACCUCCGCCACACUCUUCUCCUGCCUGGAAUCUGAUUCAUCUCCAACCACUCACCAUGGAUCUGCAUUCCUGUUCUCUCUGCCUGAAGACCCAUUUAAGUCAUGCAACUCCUCCAUCCCCGUUCCCCCUGACCACUCUCCCUGUCAUGACUGCCAGCUAAGUAGUUUAGCUUUACGAUAUGUAGGAUUAAUUAUCCGCUUCAUUUGUUAGUUACAGGUCAAACUGUGUGUGCUUCCUGUACUGAGCCUCAGAGUAAAGCGUGUCUCAGUUUCGUUUUGAUGCUGUGCUGGUUCCGUGCAUUGUGUAUUGUGUUUCCCAUGCACAUUCUGCUCCAGACUUGGUUUCUGUGUGCACAGUUCUGACUUAUUACUCCGUCCCUGUUCCCCUAAACUUCCCUCACCUUGUUGUAUUUGGUUCAAGUUAGUUCCCUCCUGCUUUGAUCUGAUUACAUCUGUAAGUUAAGUCUGGACAUUCUUCUGUAGGGCUUCCAUAAUUCUCUCUAGGUCCUGUCAGCUGUCUGUGUAAUUCCUUGUUUGUUCCCCUAGAGGUUGCUAUAACUUCUAGAGAUAGUUUAAGUCCCUACAUCAGUUCCCCAGUCCCUAGUUAUGUCUUCUUGUUCAUUAUUACUUUUUACGCUAAUUUAUUGAACUGAUUCUGUUGUGCUGUCUUCUGUCUGCAUCUGGGUCUCUGAAUUUCCGUGGCACUAAAGUCUCUGAGUCAUGUGUGUGAACAUUGGAAGUGGACAACACAUCCAUUCACCCAUUUUCUAUACACUGCUUUAUGCUGCAGGGGGGCUCCUCCAAGCUUCCAGUCUACUGACAUAGAGUGAAAGGCAGCUUACACUCUGGACAGGUCACCUGUCUAUCACAGGGCCAACACAGAAGGACAGACCACCAGGACCAGUUUACAGUGAUGGCUUCACCUAUCAUGCAACUCUUUGGACUGUGGGAGGAAGCUGGAGCUCAGUGAAAACCCAUGCAAGUACAGAUUCAGACCCAGGACCCUCUAACUGUGAGGUGACAGAGCUAACCACUGCAUAUGUGGUUGUAAAAAUAGGUAUAGCCACCGCAUCUUUAUUGGGAACUUCAUCAACAUAGACUUCCAAACGACAAGCAACAUUUUCCCAUUUCCUCACAGAAUACAUCACUUUCAUGUAUCGAUGCGCACAUCCUACAGAAUAAAAGCAUGGCUCAAAACACAAAUUCAUACAGCUGCUCAGAGUAUCAGAAGACAUUUAUUAUUCAUCCAGGGACAACACAACAAUCUACACAUGCAGAGAGCAUCCAUCCACAGUUCUACCCACUGGAUCUACAUUUCUACCCAUGUGUCACUUUUCACAGGCCUUUGGGACUGAAUCACAUAGAUCAUUUAAAACA